rnacentral:rRNA from 1 species
AAUGGCGGAGGGGAAACACCCGAUCCCAUACCGAACUCGGUAGUUAAGCCCUCCAGCGCCGAUGGUACUGGCCUCGCGAGGGGUUGGGAGAGUAGGACGCCGCCU